rnacentral:rRNA from 1 species
AGUUUCUAAGUUUAGCUAAUGUUGCCCGUACCGUAAACCGACACAGGUGGGUGGGAUGAGUAUUCUAAGGCGCGUGGAAGAACUCUCUUUAAGGAACUCUGCAAAAUAGCACCGUAUCUUCGGUAUAAGGUGUGGUUAGCUUUGUAUUAGGAUUUACUCCGAAAGCAAGGAAACUUACAACAAAGAGUCCCUCCCGACUGUUUACCAAAAACACAGCACUCUGCUAACUCGUAAGAGGAUGUAUAGGGUGUGACGCCUGCCCGGUGCUCGAAGGUUAAUUGAUGGGGUUAGCAUUAGCGAAGCUCUUGAUCGAAGCCCGAGUAAACGGCGGCCGUAACUAUAACGGUCCUAAGGUAGCGAAAUUCCUUGUCGGUUAAAUACCGACCUGCAUGAAUGGCGUAACGAGAUGGGAGCUGUCUCAAAGAGGGAUCCAGUGAAAUUGUAGUGGAGGUGAAAAUUCCUCCUACCCGCGGCAAGACGGAAAGACCCCGUGGACCUUUACUACAGCUUGACACUGCUACUUGGAUAAGAAUGUGCAGGAUAGGUGGGAGGCUUUGAGUAUAUGACGCCAGUUGUAUAUGAGCCAUUGUUGAGAUACCACUCUUUCUUAUUUGGGUAGCUAACCAGCUUGAGUUAUCCUCAAGUGGGACAAUGUCUGGUGGGUAGUUUGACUGGGGCGGUCGCCUCCCAAAUAAUAACGGAGGCUUACAAAGGUUGGCUCAGAACGGUUGGAAAUCGUUCGUAGAGUAUAAAGGUAUAAGCCAGCUUAACUGCAAGACAUACAAGUCAAGCAGAGACGAAAGUCGGUCUUAGUGAUCCGGUGGUUCUGUGUGGAAGGGCCAUCGCUCAAAGGAUAAAAGGUACCCCGGGGAUAACAGGCUGAUCUCCCCCAAGAGCUCACAUCGACGGGGAGGUUUGGCACCUCGAUGUCGGCUCAUCGCAUCCUGGGGCUGGAGCAGGUCCCAAGGGUAUGGCUGUUCGCCAUUUAAAGCGGUACGCGAGCUGGGUUCAGAACGUCGUGAGACAGUUCGGUCCCUAUCUGCCGUGGGCGUAAGAAGAUUGAAGAGAUUUGACCCUAGUACGAGAGGACCGGGUUGAACAAACCACUGGUGUAGCUGUUGUUCUGCCAAGAGCAUCGCAGCGUAGCUAAGUUUGGAAAGGAUAAACGCUGAAAGCAUCUAAGCGUGAAGCCAACUCUAAGAUGAAUCUUCUCUAAGCUCUCUAGAAGACUACUAGUUUGAUAGGCUGGGUGUGUAAUGGAUGAAAGUCCUUUAGCUGACCAGUACUAAUAGAGCGUUUGGCUUAUCUUUAAUAAAGCAU